UGCCUGGUGCCUCCAGGUGACGUUAACCAGUUAACAAUUAACGCCGGAUACAGAGAAUCCACCCAUAACACUGUUUUUGGUUUUAACUGUUCCGCGUGCGCUCA
rnacentral:rRNA from 1 species